rnacentral:rRNA from 1 species
UGGGGAAUAUUGCACAAUGGGCGCAAGCCUGAUGCAGCGACGCCGCGUGAGGGAUGACGGCCUUCGGGUUGUAAACCUCUUUCAAUAGGGACGAAGCGCAAGUGACGGUACCUAUAGAAGAAGGACCGGCCAACUACGUGCCAGCAGCCGCGGUAAUACGUAGGGUCCGAGCGUUGUCCGGAAUUACUGGGCGUAAAGAGCUCGUAGGUGGUUUGUCGCGUUGUUCGUGAAAACUCACAGCUUAACUGUGGGCGUGCGGGCGAUACGGGCAGACUAGAGUACUGCAGGGGAGACUGGAAUUCCUGGUGUAGCGGUGGAAUGCGCAGAUAUCAGGAGGAACACCGGUGGCGAAGGCGGGUCUCUGGGCAGUAACUGACGCUGAGGAGCGAAAGCGUGGGGAGCGAACAGAUUAGAUACCCUGGUAGUCCACGCCGUAAACGGUGGGUACUAGGUGUGGGUUUCCUUCCUUGGGAUCCGUGCCGUAGCUAACGAUUAAGUACCCCGCCUGGGGGAGUACGGCCGCAAGGCUAAAAACUCAAAAGGAAUUGACGGGGGUCAUAGCUGUUUUU